AGAGUUUGAUCAUGGCUCAGGACGAACGCUGGCGGCGUGCUUAACACAUGCAAGUCGAACGAUGAAGCUGGAGCUUGCUCCGGUGGAUUAGUGGCGAACGGGUGAGUAACACGUGAGAAAUCUGCCCCUGACUCUGGGAUAACUGCGGGAAACUGUAGCUAAUACCGGAUACUUUCCCUGGUGGGCAUCCACUGGGGAAGAAAGAACUUCGGUCAGGGAGGAUCUCGCGGCCUAUCAGCUAGUUGGUGAGGUAACGGCUCACCAAGGCGACGACGGGUAACCGGCCUGAGAGGGUGACCGGUCACACUGGGACUGAGACACGGCCCAGACUCCUACGGGAGGCAGCAGUGGGGAAUAUUGCACAAUGGGCGCAAGCCUGAUGCAGCAACGCCGCGUGAGGGAUGAAGGCCUUCGGGUUGUAAACCUCUUUUAGCAGGGAAGAAGCGAAAGUGACGGUACCUGCAGAAAAAGCACCGGCUAACUACGUGCCAGCAGCCGCGGUAAUACGUAGGGUGCAAGCGUUGUCCGGAAUUAUUGGGCGUAAAGAGCUCGUAGGCGGUUUGUCACGUCUGCUGUGAAAAUCCAAGGCUCAACCUUGGACUUGCAGUGGGUACGGGCAGGCUAGAGUGCGGUAGGGGAGAUGGGAAUUCCUGGUGUAGCGGUGGAAUGCGCAGAUAUCAGGAGGAACACCAAUGGCGAA
rnacentral:rRNA from 1 species